UCUCCUCCUCUUUUCAACAAUUUGUUCACGCUCUUGCUGCCUCAACCUUUCACUUUCUUCUCGUGCUCUUUGCUCAGCUCUUAACAAAGCAUUUGACCUUUGCUUAUAUGCCUCUGUCCCUGAAAGUUUCAUAUCUUCUUUUCUGAAUUUCUCCAAAGUACCCAAAAGUUGCCCCAACAUUCUUUUAUUUCUGCUAACCAAGCUUGGAUCCUCAUCCUUUGGCAACACCCGUGGCACAGGCUCAGCCACUGGAAGUUCAGCCUCCCUCUUUCCUGGUCUCUGAUUGCCAUCCCUCCUAGACCAACCACUCUGCUGUAGAAUGGCUGGUUUUCCAUCACUUUGAUCCUCUAUGGCCGCUCCAACAUCUUCCUCCUCAGCGGAUUGCUUAUUCUUCAAAUCCGUUGAUACUGUAGGGUCCUCAACAAUCUCUCCAUCCCAUCCCCCCCACCCCCCCCCUUGACAACACCAGAAAAAAGCCGCCGUUUUGCAGGAGGUUGAUCUUCUGCAUCGUUCCUAUCAGCGGGUCGAACAACGCCUCGCUGGCGAACCCCAUUGGCUGCAAAGUUCCGAGGACCAGCACCAGACAA
rnacentral:misc_RNA from 1 species